GCUUGGGUGGCUCAGUUGGUUGAGCGUCUGACUUCAGCUCAGGUCAUGAUCUGAGCUGGUCAGGUUCAUGGGUUCAAGCCCCACAUCAGGCU
rnacentral:tRNA from 1 species